UACGAAGGGGGCUAGCGUUGCUCGGAAUUACUGGGCGUAAAGGGCGCGUAGGCGGACAGUUAAGUCAGAGGUGAAAUCCCAGGGCUCAACCCUGGAAUUGCCUUUGAUACUGGCUGUCUUGAGUAUGGGAGAGGUAAGCGGAACUCCGAGUGUAGAGGUGAAAUUCGUAGAUAUUCGGAAGAACACCAGUGGCGAAGGCGGCUUACUGGCCCAUUACUGACGCUGAGGCGCGAAAGCGUGGGGAGCAAACAGG
rnacentral:rRNA from 1 species